GGUGCUCGAGUGGUGAACGGGUGAGUAACACGUGAGUAACCUGCCCUUGACUUUGGGAUAACUUCAGGAAACUGGGGCUAAUACCGGAUAGGAGCUCCUGCUGCAUGGUGGGGGUUGGAAAGUUUCGGCGGUUGGGGAUGGACUCGCGGCUUAUCAGCUUGUUGGUGGGGUAGUGGCUUACCAAGGCUUUGACGGGUAGCCGGCCUGAGAGGGUGACCGGCCACAUUGGGACUGAGAUACGGCCCAG
rnacentral:rRNA from 1 species